GACGAACGCUGGCGGCGUGCUUAACACAUGCAAGUCGAACGGAAAGGCCCUGCUUUUGUGGGGUGCUCGAGUGGCGAACGGGUGAGUAACACGUGAGUAACCUGCCCUUGACUUUGGGAUAACUUCAGGAAACUGGGGCGAAUACCGGAUAGGAGCUCCUGCUGCAUGGUGGGGGUUGGAAAGUUUCGGCGGUUGGGGAUGGACUCGCGGCUUAUCAGCUUGUUGGUGGGGUAGUGGCUUACCAAGGCUUUGACGGGUAGCCGGCCUGAGCGGGUGACCGGCCACAUUGGGACUGGGAUACGGCCCAGACUCCUACGGGAGGCAGUAGUGGGGAAUAUUGCACAAUGGGCGGAAGCCUGAUGCAGCAACGCCGCGUGCGGGAUGACGGCCUUCGGGUUGUAAACCGCUUUCGCCUGUGACGAAGCGUGAGUGACGGUAAUGGGUAAAGAAGCACCGGCUAACUACGUG
rnacentral:rRNA from 1 species